AAGUCGUAACAAGGUUUCCGUAGGUGAACCUGCGGAAGGAUCAUUAACACGUAUCCAAACGUUAAAACCCCCCCCGUGAACCUUUAUGAGUGCGCACCGUCGGGUAUCCCGAGUCGUAGUGUAUGGUAAAUCAUGGGUAGAGUUGGGGUUCUCUCAACAGGCUACAUUAUUGAUUCAAUGACUACGAUUAGCUGACGGAGUCGCGAGCUCGAAGCAGCAGCGGCCCAAGCAAUAACUUGUCUGAAAGUGUCAUUAGUGGACCAAGUGGCCUGCCGCACCGAACGCACAACUGUUAACAAUGGAUAUCUUGGUUCUC
rnacentral:misc_RNA from 1 species